UUUCAAGCUUCAUCUGGCGAUCAGAUAGCGUUAUUAGUCAAAGCUACUAAAUUACAUGGUCUCUGGCCCCAGCAUAUGAAUAAUAUCUAAAGAUGUCUCCUAAGCUUUUUUCAAAAUCCUGUCGUUAAGAUAAAGAAUUCGCUUGUUCUGAUGCCCGUAGGUUGUAAGGACGCCCGUUGACGAUGACGUGGCCAUCCAGACUCGUCAGGUGGCAAGGCCUGCGACGGUCACUGUCCUCGACCAAGUGUCCAAUAUCAGGGUCGUGACUGACGUCUCCGUCGAACACUUCACUAUCACGCACAGCUACUAUAACAUCAUGCAGUCGACCUACACCCGAACAACGACGCAGGCGAUUACUAUCUCAUCUACAUUGGUGAGGACAAAUGUCAAGACGGACACGAGAACGGAGACUGACUUCCGCACCGUUUACAACACUGUCUACGUGCAGGGAUCGUACCAGUAGAUAACGACACUUCGCCGAUGGCGCUAUUCAUUCGGUCUGGAUCUGCCAGGAAAGCACAAUAAAAGUAACACUAGAAAAAUAUUUAUAAUGCAUCCCUAUUCACCUUGGCAUCUUUCUCCCUUGCAUUACAAGGGCUGUUCUUGAUGUAUGGUGAAAUUUUAUUAUCUAAAAGGUUAACAACUC